rnacentral:rRNA from 1 species
UGUGCCCCUCGAAGUUCUGGACCUACACCCAGAACACGCACCGCUUGUUCGCCGACAGCCUGACCACGCGCGGGAGCCGCUUGAUGACCAGCCAGGUGUUCAUCACCUCCACGAACUUGCGAGGGACGACGAGCAUGGAGAGGUCCUCGUUGUCCUUGAUCUGCUGGUAGAAGCGCAGCGGCUCCCUGGCCCCCUCCUCGUGGCCCUGCCUCGGAGAUCGUCCCCUUGAACGAGGCAUGCUCAUGAAGGCGAUCCUGCCAGGCAGGUCCACCGUCCUGAGCCACCUGUUC